rnacentral:lncRNA from 1 species
UAAAGCUCACCAGCCGACACCCUUUUCUUCCUCCCUCUAGGUUCCACUGUGCAACACAAAAAAAAAGAAGAAGAGUUUUCAACUCUCUCUCCCUCAUCUGAAUACAGCCGGCUCCAGCAACCGGAGCCAACUCCGGCGACGAAACAAACAGCGGUGGUUGUUCCAGCCGCGACAUCCCCAAACACCUCACCCACUCCCCCCGACCUACGCGAUUUCGACACCACCCUCCGACAAAGAUUUGCGGCGGUGGCGAAGCUGGUUUCUCAUGACAGUGGUGGGUUCAGUUUGGUGCGAGUUCGGGACUCCGGUCAACUUUUGCGACACGAUCGGUUCGGGUCAGAUUUCAUGUUCAGGUUGAUGAUGAUGAUGCUAUGAAAUGAAGUAGCGUUGAUGCCUAGAUACACAUAUAUACGUUUAGGUUUAAAUGUUGUAUCAAUUUUGAUUAUGUUGUUAUGUAUUCCUUUUGAACUUGUUGUUAUUUGAAUUCCUUGUAUUGUUGACAAUUUAGUUUAUGAAAUGAAAUCGGUUUAUUAAAUAUU